rnacentral:rRNA from 1 species
AAGGCUUGACCUCAAAUCAGGUAGGACUACCCGCUGAACUUAAGCAUAUCAAUAAGCCGGAGGAAA